AUAUCAAUAAGCGGAGGAAAAGAAACCAACAGGGAUUACCUCAGUAACGGCGAGUGAAGCGGUAACAGCUCAAAUUUGAAAUCUGGGUCUUUCAGGCUCCGAGUUGUAAUUUGUAGAAGAUGCUUCGGGUGCGGCUCCGGUCUAAGUUCCUUGGAACAGGACGUCAUAGAGGGUGAGAAUCCCGUAUGUGAUCGGUUGCCUGCGCCCGUGUGAAGCUCUUUCGACGAGUCGAGUUGUUUGGGAAUGCAGCUCAAAAUGGGUGGUAAAUUUCAUCUAAAGCUAAAUAUUGGCCAGAGACCGAUAGCGCACAAGUAGAGUGAUCGAAAGAUGAAAAGCACUUUGGAAAGAGAGUUAAACAGUAC
rnacentral:rRNA from 1 species